UUAUAUAUAUCUAUGGUUCCCAUUAAGUCUAACUACCUUUCAAAUGAAUCUCUACCAUUGGAUCUUGCUGAAAUCAAAUCCUGACCUUCUAAACUCACAAUAAUAACUGCUAUGGUAGCAGUUAACGGCAGUUUCUUACGGUUCCCCCUCUGACGGUUACCUCCACUUUUUUCUGCCCAUCAUCUCCACAACUCAACCUCCUACAAAACUAGGGUAGUGCUCACAAUUUCAGUUCGCCCGUUGGUUGUCUCAGGUCUCCUCCUCACCCAUAAAACUGUCACCCCAUCUCCACAAACCAACAUGCAAAAGUGGAGAGAUUAGAGGUCAUCUUCUCCUUCACACGCCGUAUGCACCUCACCCGUCGCCGUCGGUACAAUCAACGUCGUUCUAAAAGUUCAAGACGUGAUUUCAAAAGCAGAUGAUGGUCCCUCAGUCUUCAUCUACCUCUCCCUUUUGUCUGAAUCCCUCUCCUCUGAAUCAAUCGAAGGAAGUGUUGAAGAUUUCCAUAUCUGUCUUUCUGCCAAAGUCAAGUAUGUUGAAAGUGUAAAGGGUGAUGAAGAACAAUAAGGGGGCACUACAAGAACAGGCGCUUUUUGAAAUGCUACAGGCUCUAAGAGAAGCCGAGAUGCUGAACUUCAUAAUUUGUCUGAAAUACAUAAUUCCUCAAGUUUAGGCAGUCGGUAUUCUCUUAAUUAUUAGUGUUUACAUUUAGCAAUUUGUUAAUUUGUAUACAGUAGGUAGUCUUUGUUCAAUAUAGGCACUCAGAAGUUUGAUGAAUAAAGUUUCGGGUAAUUUAAAAAAUUCCGAAUGAUUAGGUUACAGGUCAGUUAUGCCUGACCUGUAUUUUCGUGGUUCUUUUUUAUCAUGUUACUUAACAAUGGUAUUAAAUAAUCUUCAUAACGUCUUAGCAGUUCGGUGAUUCCUUAAUUCAGGUUUAAUUUUUGCCGAAAUUUCUAUUUCUGUCAACGCAGAUUUACUAUUUGUUAUACUUUAGGUGUAACUGCAUUCAGGUUUUCCUUUUUAGUGAGUGACCAGCGAUUAAAACAUCUGAAGCUUGCUAUUCGACACAAGUUGUGUGUUAAUCAAGGGUUUCUACAAGUUCCGGUGUCGAACAUAGCUUCUGUACUUUGAUCAUAUUGUUUUGUUGUUAACAAUGGAAACCUCACUUAUAUGAAGUUAGACAGGAGUUGAAGCGUGGACCAUCUAUCAAAUAAGCUAUUUAUCAGCAACAUCAUGAAUGGAGCAAAGGCUGGCAUGUGCCAUUGAAUAAAGAUUUGAAUCUUCUGGUGGAUUUAUCAAGUCGCUCGCCUGUGACGUCGAUUGGACGAAUCACCCUUUGGUAAGCCAUGUGCAAUUCACAGGUCUUAUCUCAUCUCAUCUUACCUUUGUAUAUGUAAUGAUUUACUUUGAUCAUGGAUAUUUGAAUUUGAAUUUAGGUUAAUAUUUAUUUUCAGUUUUUUCAUCCAUGUGAUUCUCAAUGUUUCAGAAUGACCCAUUAGAGGCUAAAAAAAAAUGUUUUGCAGGCUUCUGGUGCAAUGAGAUCUCGUAGAGCUAGGGUUACUGAUAACAUAAGUAUCAUGUGUUUGUAGAUGACGUGAUACGUCCACAAACAACUAAGGCCAUGCCAAAUCAGCCCGAGUGCCAAUAAUUUUUGCUAUUACUAGGCUAUAGAUAGAUAAGGAAGGGGCUUUAGAUCGAGUAAUGCAAGUUAAGCAGGAGCUUUCUUAUAAUGGUUGUCAACUAGAAGAUUGGGGGUGGUGAUGUACCUAUGGUUCAGCAAGAAUGUUGAUGAUUUGUUAGAACUCACUAUGCGUGUUGCCGAGUUAGGUAAAGUUAUUUACUGACUAUUGCAUGUAAAUUAUUUAUUUACCUUUUUUUUUUGCUUGGGGGAGAAGAGAGGGUUACUUUCAACCCAUUUGGCCCGCUUCGCAACUAUGCGGGUCAAAUUUUAUCUAAGGUAUGUAGCACAUCUUUAAUAAUAUACAACUUUAAUUACUUGAGAUACAAGUCAAUAAAGGAGUUUGCUCAAGAUUUAGGAGCAAUGGAGUUGUUGCUCGUGUAAAGGUAUUUAAGUUUAACUUCAUUUAUAUGUAUAUAUUAUUUUGAGAUUCUACAUUUGUCUUCAGUUUUCUUGAUUAUUAGCUGCAAGAAUUAAAGGCUAAUCUCGAUAGAAAUGCAAAGGUUAUCGUAAUUGAAGCAGGUCUCAUCAAUCAAAAGGACCCGUAGCUACUUUAUUUUUGUGCAAAAUGACACACUUAAAAAGGGAGAUGUGGUUGUAUGUAGUGAAGUCUUUGGAAAGGUUAGUAAAAGAAACAAUAGUUAAUUCAACAAAAUACUAUUUUAAAAUUCUCGACUUUAAAACAUUUGCACUUUGAUUAGAUUCAUCUUUAUUUGAUGGCUCAAAAGCUAAGCUUUACAUUUUUAGGUCUGAGCUUUAUUUCAUGAUGCUGGAAAGCGGGUUUGAUGAUGUUGGGCUGGCAAUACCAGUACAAGUGAAUUUAGCUACAAUUAUUUGGUUCUUGUCUAUUACAACCCAUAAUAAAAAUUACACAUCCAACCCGACCCGUUUGACCCGCUUUAACCCAAAUCCAUUUGACCUGGCUCAACCCACCCAAUUUGACCCACUAGAAAUUGAUCUGUUCCCAAUUCGAUCCUGUUUGUGUUGUCAAAAUGAACUGUUGUAACCUAAAUCCAUUUGACCCUUGUCAACUUGAGCCCAUUUGACCUGUUUCAACCCAAACCUGUUUGACCUAUUCAAGAAUUAUAUAUAUCUAUGGUUCCCAUUAAGUCUAACUACCUUUCAAAUGAAUCUCUACCAUUGGAUCUUGCUGAAAUCAAAUCCUGACCUUCUAAACUCACAAUAAUAACUGCUAUGGUAGCAGUUAACGGCAGUUUCUUACGGUUCCCCCUCUGACGGUUACCUCCACUUUUUUCUGCCCAUCAUCUCCACAACUCAACCUCCUACAAAACUAGGGUAGUGCUCACAAUUUCAGUUCGCCCGUUGGUUGUCUCAGGUCUCCUCCUCACCCAUAAAACUGUCACCCCAUCUCCACAAACCAACAUGCAAAAGUGGAGAGAUUAGAGGUCAUCUUCUCCUUCACACGCCGUAUGCACCUCACCCGUCGCCGUCGGUACAAUCAACGUCGUUCUAAAAGUUCAAGACGUGAUUUCAAAAGCAGAUGAUGGUCCCUCAGUCUUCAUCUACCUCUCCCUUUUGUCUGAAUCCCUCUCCUCUGAAUCAAUCGAAGGAAGUGUUGAAGAUUUCCAUAUCUGUCUUUCUGCCAAAGUCAAGUAUGUUGAAAGUGUAAAGGGUGAUGAAGAACAAUAAGGGGGCACUACAAGAACAGGCGCUUUUUGAAAUGCUACAGGCUCUAAGAGAAGCCGAGAUGCUGAACUUCAUAAUUUGUCUGAAAUACAUAAUUCCUCAAGUUUAGGCAGUCGGUAUUCUCUUAAUUAUUAGUGUUUACAUUUAGCAAUUUGUUAAUUUGUAUACAGUAGGUAGUCUUUGUUCAAUAUAGGCACUCAGAAGUUUGAUGAAUAAAGUUUCGGGUAAUUUAAAAAAUUCCGAAUGAUUAGGUUACAGGUCAGUUAUGCCUGACCUGUAUUUUCGUGGUUCUUUUUUAUCAUGUUACUUAACAAUGGUAUUAAAUAAUCUUCAUAACGUCUUAGCAGUUCGGUGAUUCCUUAAUUCAGGUUUAAUUUUUGCCGAAAUUUCUAUUUCUGUCAACGCAGAUUUACUAUUUGUUAUACUUUAGGUGUAACUGCAUUCAGGUUUUCCUUUUUAGUGAGUGACCAGCGAUUAAAACAUCUGAAGCUUGCUAUUCGACACAAGUUGUGUGUUAAUCAAGGGUUUCUACAAGUUCCGGUGUCGAACAUAGCUUCUGUACUUUGAUCAUAUUGUUUUGUUGUUAACAAUGGAAACCUCACUUAUAUGAAGUUAGACAGGAGUUGAAGCGUGGACCAUCUAUCAAAUAAGCUAUUUAUCAGCAACAUCAUGAAUGGAGCAAAGGCUGGCAUGUGCCAUUGAAUAAAGAUUUGAAUCUUCUGGUGGAUUUAUCAAGUCGCUCGCCUGUGACGUCGAUUGGACGAAUCACCCUUUGGUAAGCCAUGUGCAAUUCACAGGUCUUAUCUCAUCUCAUCUUACCUUUGUAUAUGUAAUGAUUUACUUUGAUCAUGGAUAUUUGAAUUUGAAUUUAGGUUAAUAUUUAUUUUCAGUUUUUUCAUCCAUGUGAUUCUCAAUGUUUCAGAAUGACCCAUUAGAGGCUAAAAAAAAAUGUUUUGCAGGCUUCUGGUGCAAUGAGAUCUCGUAGAGCUAGGGUUACUGAUAACAUAAGUAUCAUGUGUUUGUAGAUGACGUGAUACGUCCACAAACAACUAAGGCCAUGCCAAAUCAGCCCGAGUGCCAAUAAUUUUUGCUAUUACUAGGAUAGAUAAGGAAGGGGCUUUAGAUCGAGUAAUGCAAGUUAAGCAGGAGCUUUCUUAUAAUGGUUGUCAACUAGAAGAUUGGGGGUGGUGAUGUACCUAUGGUUCAGGUGCAGGGCAAGAUCACUUAAGUUUUUUUAUUAUUUUUAAAAUACCCUUUACAUGAUUCAUAUCAUUGUCAAUGAAAACAAAAUUGUGUGCUCUUACCAGCAAGAAUGUUGAUGAUUUGUUAGAACUCACUAUGCGUGUUGCCGAGUUAGGUAAAGUUAUUUACUGACUAUUGCAUGUAAAUUAUUUAUUUACCUUUUUUUUUUGCUUGGGGGAGAAGAGAGGGUUACUUUCAACCCAUUUGGCCCGCUUCGCAACUAUGCGGGUCAAAUUUUAUCUAAGGUAUGUAGCACAUCUUUAAUAAUAUACAACUUUAAUUACUUGAGAUACAAGUCAAUAAAGGAGUUUGCUCAAGAUUUAGGAGCAAUGGAGUUGUUGCUCGUGUAAAGGUAUUUAAGUUUAACUUCAUUUAUAUGUAUAUAUUAUUUUGAGAUUCUACAUUUGUCUUCAGUUUUCUUGAUUAUUAGCUGCAAGAAUUAAAGGCUAAUCUCGAUAGAAAUGCAAAGGUUAUCGUAAUUGAAGCAGGUCUCAUCAAUCAAAAGGACCCGUAGCUACUUUAUUUUUGUGCAAAAUGACACACUUAAAAAGGGAGAUGUGGUUGUAUGUAGUGAAGUCUUUGGAAAGGUUAGUAAAAGAAACAAUAGUUAAUUCAACAAAAUACUAUUUUAAAAUUCUCGACUUUAAAACAUUUGCACUUUGAUUAGAUUCAUCUUUAUUUGAUGGCUCAAAAGCUAAGCUUUACAUUUUUAGGUCUGAGCUUUAUUUCAUGAUGCUGGAAAGCGGGUUUGAUGAUGUUGGGCUGGCAAUACCAGUACAAGUGAAUUUAGCUACAAUUAUUUGGUUCUUGUCUAUUACAACCCAUAAUAAAAAUUACACAUCCAACCCGACCCGUUUGACCCGCUUUAACCCAAAUCCAUUUGACCUGGCUCAACCCACCCAAUUUGACCCACUAGAAAUUGAUCUGUUCCCAAUUCGAUCCUGUUUGUGUUGUCAAAAUGAACUGUUGUAACCUAAAUCCAUUUGACCCUUGUCAACUUGAGCCCAUUUGACCUGUUUCAACCCAAACCUGUUUGACCUAUUCAAGAAUUAUAUAUAUCUAUGGUUCCCAUUAAGUCUAACUACCUUUCAAAUGAAUCUCUACCAUUGGAUCUUGCUGAAAUCAAAUCCUGACCUUCUAAACUCACAAUAAUAACUGCUAUGGUAGCAGUUAACGGCAGUUUCUUACGGUUCCCCCUCUGACGGUUACCUCCACUUUUUUCUGCCCAUCAUCUCCACAACUCAACCUCCUACAAAACUAGGGUAGUGCUCACAAUUUCAGUUCGCCCGUUGGUUGUCUCAGGUCUCCUCCUCACCCAUAAAACUGUCACCCCAUCUCCACAAACCAACAUGCAAAAGUGGAGAGAUUAGAGGUCAUCUUCUCCUUCACACGCCGUAUGCACCUCACCCGUCGCCGUCGGUACAAUCAACGUCGUUCUAAAAGUUCAAGACGUGAUUUCAAAAGCAGAUGAUGGUCCCUCAGUCUUCAUCUACCUCUCCCUUUUGUCUGAAUCCCUCUCCUCUGAAUCAAUCGAAGGAAGUGUUGAAGAUUUCCAUAUCUGUCUUUCUGCCAAAGUCAAGUAUGUUGAAAGUGUAAAGGGUGAUGAAGAACAAUAAGGGGGCACUACAAGAACAGGCGCUUUUUGAAAUGCUACAGGCUCUAAGAGAAGCCGAGAUGCUGAACUUCAUAAUUUGUCUGAAAUACAUAAUUCCUCAAGUUUAGGCAGUCGGUAUUCUCUUAAUUAUUAGUGUUUACAUUUAGCAAUUUGUUAAUUUGUAUACAGUAGGUAGUCUUUGUUCAAUAUAGGCACUCAGAAGUUUGAUGAAUAAAGUUUCGGGUAAUUUAAAAAAUUCCGAAUGAUUAGGUUACAGGUCAGUUAUGCCUGACCUGUAUUUUCGUGGUUCUUUUUUAUCAUGUUACUUAACAAUGGUAUUAAAUAAUCUUCAUAACGUCUUAGCAGUUCGGUGAUUCCUUAAUUCAGGUUUAAUUUUUGCCGAAAUUUCUAUUUCUGUCAACGCAGAUUUACUAUUUGUUAUACUUUAGGUGUAACUGCAUUCAGGUUUUCCUUUUUAGUGAGUGACCAGCGAUUAAAACAUCUGAAGCUUGCUAUUCGACACAAGUUGUGUGUUAAUCAAGGGUUUCUACAAGUUCCGGUGUCGAACAUAGCUUCUGUACUUUGAUCAUAUUGUUUUGUUGUUAACAAUGGAAACCUCACUUAUAUGAAGUUAGACAGGAGUUGAAGCGUGGACCAUCUAUCAAAUAAGCUAUUUAUCAGCAACAUCAUGAAUGGAGCAAAGGCUGGCAUGUGCCAUUGAAUAAAGAUUUGAAUCUUCUGGUGGAUUUAUCAAGUCGCUCGCCUGUGACGUCGAUUGGACGAAUCACCCUUUGGUAAGCCAUGUGCAAUUCACAGGUCUUAUCUCAUCUCAUCUUACCUUUGUAUAUGUAAUGAUUUACUUUGAUCAUGGAUAUUUGAAUUUGAAUUUAGGUUAAUAUUUAUUUUCAGUUUUUUCAUCCAUGUGAUUCUCAAUGUUUCAGAAUGACCCAUUAGAGGCUAAAAAAAAAUGUUUUGCAGGCUUCUGGUGCAAUGAGAUCUCGUAGAGCUAGGGUUACUGAUAACAUAAGUAUCAUGUGUUUGUAGAUGACGUGAUACGUCCACAAACAACUAAGGCCAUGCCAAAUCAGCCCGAGUGCCAAUAAUUUUUGCUAUUACUAGGAUAGAUAAGGAAGGGGCUUUAGAUCGAGUAAUGCAAGUUAAGCAGGAGCUUUCUUAUAAUGGUUGUCAACUAGAAGAUUGGGGGUGGUGAUGUACCUAUGGUUCAGGUGCAGGGCAAGAUCACUUAAGUUUUUUUAUUAUUUUUAAAAUACCCUUUACAUGAUUCAUAUCAUUGUCAAUGAAAACAAAAUUGUGUGCUCUUACCAGCAAGAAUGUUGAUGAUUUGUUAGAACUCACUAUGCGUGUUGCCGAGUUAGGUAAAGUUAUUUACUGACUAUUGCAUGUAAAUUAUUUAUUUACCUUUUUUUUUUGCUUGGGGGAGAAGAGAGGGUUACUUUCAACCCAUUUGGCCCGCUUCGCAACUAUGCGGGUCAAAUUUUAUCUAAGGUAUGUAGCACAUCUUUAAUAAUAUACAACUUUAAUUACUUGAGAUACAAGUCAAUAAAGGAGUUUGCUCAAGAUUUAGGAGCAAUGGAGUUGUUGCUCGUGUAAAGGUAUUUAAGUUUAACUUCAUUUAUAUGUAUAUAUUAUUUUGAGAUUCUACAUUUGUCUUCAGUUUUCUUGAUUAUUAGCUGCAAGAAUUAAAGGCUAAUCUCGAUAGAAAUGCAAAGGUUAUCGUAAUUGAAGCAGGUCUCAUCAAUCAAAAGGACCCGUAGCUACUUUAUUUUUGUGCAAAAUGACACACUUAAAAAGGGAGAUGUGGUUGUAUGUAGUGAAGUCUUUGGAAAGGUUAGUAAAAGAAACAAUAGUUAAUUCAACAAAAUACUAUUUUAAAAUUCUCGACUUUAAAACAUUUGCACUUUGAUUAGAUUCAUCUUUAUUUGAUGGCUCAAAAGCUAAGCUUUACAUUUUUAGGUCUGAGCUUUAUUUCAUGAUGCUGGAAAGCGGGUUUGAUGAUGUUGGGCUGGCAAUACCAGUACAAGUGAAUUUAGCUACAAUUAUUUGGUUCUUGUCUAUUACAACCCAUAAUAAAAAUUACACAUCCAACCCGACCCGUUUGACCCGCUUUAACCCAAAUCCAUUUGACCUGGCUCAACCCACCCAAUUUGACCCACUAGAAAUUGAUCUGUUCCCAAUUCGAUCCUGUUUGUGUUGUCAAAAUGAACUGUUGUAACCUAAAUCCAUUUGACCCUUGUCAACUUGAGCCCAUUUGACCUGUUUCAACCCAAACCUGUUUGACCUAUUCAAGAAUUGACCCGUUUAAACCCGACUCUAUUAGACUCAUUCAUGAUUUAGAUAAUGAUUCAUUUCAACCCGAAUCUUUCUUAGCUAGAAAAGAUUACCUUUUUCAACUUGAAACACCUCUGACCCUGUGUAGAAAUGCAUACUUUGCAGGUGAUCGGAUUAAACAGUGCCCCAUUUGCGGUGACGAAUUUAAGGUAGUUGACUCACUUGAUAUUGCACGAGAAAGGGCAAAAGAACGGGCAAUAUCAUCAUGUGAUGUACGUAUACUAGCUAAAGCUGGAAUGGUAGAAUUACGCUUUUGUCCUUCGCUUCUGCUGUUACAACGGGCAUGAAUUCAAGAGCAACUGCUUUGUUUAUGUCCAUCGGGUCGAGCAACAUGUCAAAACAUGUUAGGGCUAAAAUGGGCAUUUCUUCUGUACAUCCUGAAAUGGGUUGGGUUGGUUUGACUCAAACAUGCUCUUUGCAUUAUUUUUAUUUAAGAAAUAGGUAUAGUGCCAAAUAUGAUCAUAAAACUAAAUUAAUUCAGCAAUAAUCUAAUUUUAUUGAAUCGUAGGUUUUAUUUAUUUCAAAUGACACUUUGGUGGACUUUUGAAUCUUUCACCCAUAUGAACAUUCUUUUUUAGACUAUUUUAAUUAUUUUUCCUUUCAGAGAUAAGCAUAAUCCUAUUUAACAUUUCACCCUAUUUCUAAACUUAAGUAAACGGGUCCAUUGUUGCCUUAUGAUUAUAGAUGAUUGUUGAGUGAAGACCUUUCUCUUAUUCUCUUUUUGAAUGAGCAGGAUAGACUUUUAGCCAUUUUCUAGAUCAGCAUCCUAUUGUACUUCAUAUUGGUGGGAAUAACUUGGAAAUUCUAGCAAAGCAACUCAACUAGCAAAAGGUUACGGUAAUAACAAGCUCAACUUGAACUAUGUUUACUUUUACAAGAUAUGUUUGUUCAAUAUUAUAUUAUUUGAUACGAGGAAACUUAUGGGUGUUUACAUGCUUUCAAUAUUAUGAAUGGAUGUUUAUUUAAUU